rnacentral:rRNA from 1 species
GACGUAGGGCGCGAGCGUUGUCCGGAUUUAUUGGGCGUAAAGAGCUCGUAGGCGGCUUGUCGCGUCGUCCGUGAAAACCUGCGGCUCAACUGCAGGCUGGCGGUCGAUACGGGCAGGCUGGAGUUCGGUAGGGGAGACUGGAAUUCCUGGUGUAGCGGUGAAAUGCGUAGAUAUCGGGAGGAACAUCAGUGGCGAAGGCGGCCUUCUGGUCCAGUACUGACACUCAAGUGCGAAAAGCGUGGGGAGCAAACAGGG